UAGGCUGAAACUCGCCUACAUGAAGCUGGAGUUACUAGUAAUCGCAGAUCAGAAUGCUGCGGUGAAUGCGUUCCCGGGUCUUGUACACACCGCCCGUCACACCACGGAAGUUGGGGGCGCCCGAAGCCACUUAGCUAACCCUUUUGGGAAGCGAGUGUCGAAGGUGAAAUCAAUAACUGGGGUGAAGUCGUAACAAGGUAUC
rnacentral:rRNA from 1 species